AGUCGAACGCGCAGCAUUCUGUAGCAAUACAGGGUGUGGGCGCGUGGCGAACGGGUGCGUAACACGUGGAUAACCUUCCUCUAGGUGGGGAAUAACCCCGCGAAAGCGGGGCUAAUACCGCAUAAAAUUACGAUGGCACAUGCUGUUGUAAUCAAAGGCGCAAGUCGCCGAGAGAGGGAUCCGCGGCCGAUUAGCUUGUUGGCGAGGUAACGGCUCACCAAGGCAAUGAUCGGUAGCCGGACUGAGAGGAUGGCCGGCCACACUGGAACUGAGACACGGUCCAGACUCCUACGGGAGGCAGCAGUGGGGAAUCUUGCACAAUGGGCGAAAGCCUGAUGCAGCAACGCCGCGUGGGGGAUGAAGCUUCUCGGAGUGUAAACCCCUUUCGACCCGGACGAAAGCCCGCAAGGGCCUGACGGUACGGGUAUAAGAAGCCCCGGCUAACUACGUGCCAGCAGCCGCGGUAAUACGUAGGGGGCCAGCGUUGCUCGGAAUUACUGGGCGUAAAGGGUCCGUAGGCGGUGCGGCAAGUCGAUAGUGAAAUCCCUGGGCUUAACCCAGGGGCUGCUAACGAAACUGCCGUGCUAGAGUGUGAGAGAGGCGAGUGGAAUUACGGGUGUAGCGGUGAAAUGCGUAGAUAUCCGUAGGAACAUCCGAGGCGAAAGCGGCUCGCUGGAUCACAACUGACGCUGA
rnacentral:rRNA from 1 species